rnacentral:rRNA from 1 species
GAUGAACGCUGGCGGCGUGCCUAAUACAUGCAAGUCGAGCGAACGGAUAAGGAGCUUGCUCCUUUGACGUUAGCGGCGGACGGGUGAGUAACACGUGGGUAACCUACCUAUAAGACUGGAAUAACUCCGGGAAACCGGGGCUAAUGCAGGAUAACAUGUUGAACCGCAUGGUUCUACAGUGAAAGGCGGCUUUGCUGUCACUUAUAGAUGGACCCGCGCCGUAUUAGCUAGUUGGUGAGGUAACGGCUCACCAAGGCAACGAUACGUAGCCGACCUGAGAGGGUGAUCGGCCACACUGGAACUGAGACACGGUCCAGACUCCUACGGGAGGCAGCAGUAGGGAAUCUUCCGCAAUGGGCGAAAGCCUGACGGAGCAACGCCGCGUGAGUGAUGAAGGUCUUCGGAUCGUAAAACUCUGUUAUUAGGGAAGAACAAAUGCGUAAGUAACUGUGCGCGUCUUGACGGUACCUAAUCAGAAAGCCACGGCUAACUACGUG